rnacentral:rRNA from 1 species
AACGUAGGACGCAAGCGUUAUCCGGAGUUACUGGGCGUAAAGCGCGGGCAGGCGGCUUGUCAAGUGGGGUGUAAAAAGCGCUCAGCUUAACUGGGCGAUGCAUUCCAGACUGAUGAGCUGGAGGGCAGUAGAGGUAGGCGGAAUUCCGGGUGGAGUGGUGAAAUGCGUAGAGAUCCGGAGGAACACCAGAGGCGAAGGCGGCCUACUGGGCUGCACCUGACGCUGAGCCGCGAAAGCCAGGGGAGCGAACGGGG